CAGUAGCCGCGGUAAUACGGAGGAUCCAAGCGUUAUCCGGAAUCAUUGGGUUUAAAGGGUCCGUAGGCGGUCUUGUAAGUCAGUGGUGAAAGCCCAUCGCUCAACGGUGGAACGGCCAUUGAUACUGCAGGACUUGAAUUAUUGGGAAGUAACUAGAAUAUGUAGUGUAGCGGUGAAAUGCUUAGAGAUUACAUGGAAUACCAAUUGCGAAGGCAGGUUACUACCAAUUGAUUGACGCUGAUGGACGAAAGCGUGGGUAGCGAACAGGAUUAGAUACCCCUGUAGCUGUCUCUUAUACACA
rnacentral:rRNA from 1 species